AUUCAACUAGUUAAAAAAGCACUAUACUUUAUUAUAAAAAAACACUGUGUGAAAAUAUUAACAAAAAUAUCAUCUUUAGGAAUUCAAAUCAGCUCUUCAACUAUACAUCCAUGACACAGAAACAAAUUAGCGAAACUCCAUUUGUAAAUUCCAGAAAUUGGGUAGAAAACAGAAGAUCUGAAUAACCCCCAACAACAAAUUGCACCGAUCAAGUGUUCGAUUUAAGUCAUUUUGAGAGUUUCUCUUUUAACUGCUUGAUGUUUUUAUAUUGUUAUCUUUGCUAAUAAGUGGACAGUUGACUACUACUCUUUCACUUUACGCAGGCAAAGAUUCCUGACAUAGAGAAAUGCUUGGAUAUAGUUGCUACUUUGCAAGCUAAGAAGGACAACAGUGAGACUAUUGUUGUAACUACGAGACGCGUCCUGGAAAGAUUAGCGGUCCAAUAUGUCUCACAAUGCAUGGCAUGGAAGCUUUUAAAAGAUGUUCCCAAGUCAGCUGCACGUAAGGCUCAAAGGAGAAUGUCUAGUAUGAUCUACUUUUGCAGUGUUACAAAAACAACAUGCAGAGGUCAUUUUCUGGGAGUUUUGGCAUCAUGGUUUGUGCAAGUUGGCAUCUUUACUAUAAUUACAGUUUUCAGGAUGUGCUUUGGAGAUGUGUCUGGACCAAUCAUUGUAGCCUUUUGUUUUGACAAAGUUCUUCAUUUGGAAUUGCGAUGACUCUCUUCUUGGUUAAUAUAAGGAUCAUGUGGUUGAUCUAGAGCCCCCCUUACCUCAAAGAAGUGCAAUUCAGUGCUUCUGUAUGACUCAAGGUUGCUUUAGCUCUAGAAUAAUAUUUGUCAUAGAUACACGGUACACUAACCAAUUUAUGACAUUACGAGUACUUUUUUGGGACUCAAUUUCAUGC